UCUAAAGCAGGUAAACAAACUAGCAUUGCGCAGCAUUAUUAAAGGCAACACGUUAUGCAAGCAUCAGGAUAUGUAUUUUGGGAGAUUAUACUACUUGAAACUUACACCUUUGUUUACACCUCAGUUUUAGUUGACACUGCGUCUUUACUACUGUACUACGAAGAGACUUUAAACGGUUUUUGUUGUUUGUUUGUUUUUCUUGCUUGGUCAAGACCACGAAUAAUGCUCGCAUGGUUUAUACUACAUUCUUUAUUAAAGGCUGUUUUGAAAUAAUUACUGCAAGACUGGCCAGCAAUAAGUGGGUUAUUCCCACUGGAAAUUUGCACCCUGCCUUGUAUGCCAGGUGGUCCAAAUUCAGUAGUGGAUAAGGGGCAUCUUAGCAGGGCUCCCCGACACCAGACCAUCAUCCAAGAGACGCCUUCUCACUGUGCAAGCAGACACCUUCACUCCAUCUUCUUUCCAUUGCCGCAGCCUCGGCACCUUGGAUAAUCAACAAUCUGUUUCACCCUCUGGCCACCACCACCAAGACUGUCUGCUAUGGUAAAACCAAAGCCUUU